rnacentral:rRNA from 1 species
UACGUAGGGGGCAAGCGUUGUCCGGAUUUAUUGGGCGUAAAGAGCGUGUAGGCGGUUUGGUAGGUCCGCUGUGAAAACUCGAGGCUCAACCUCGAGACGCCGGUGGAAACCAUCAGGCUAGAGUCCGGAAGAGGAGAGUGGAACUCCUGGUGUAGCGGUGAAAUGCGCAGAUAUCAGGAAGAACACCCGUGGCUAAGGCGGCUCUCUAGUACGGUACUGACGCUGAGACGCGAAAGCGUGGGGAGCGAACAGG